rnacentral:lncRNA from 1 species
AUAGGAAAAGGAGAAGGGAGAGGUCUCUUCAUCUUAUUAUUCUUCAAGACUCUUCCACAAGUUCAGUGCAAUGAUUUUAAUCUCUUUUGUGGCUUUCUCCAGUAAAACACCAUAUUCAUUAAUAUAACAAUCAAUGGAUGUCCAUACGGGUAUAGAGCCAUACUUUCGGCCUCAUUUGAAUACAUUGAAAGAGGCCCAUCCUUAGGAUUCAAUUAUAUUUGAAGAUUAUUCAGUCUUUUCAUAAGUCUAGGAUAUUCCCAAAUAAAUAAAUAAAUAAACAAUAAAUCUAUGUUUCUAUGCGCUUUUUUUAAUGAGUUUAAAAUUAAUUGAGUCAAAACCUAUAAUACAUGCAUCCUUUUUUCUUUGUGUUUAAAGAAUCAAAAUUAUUAAAAGAAAUAUUGGUUCUUUCAUGAGUCUUGUCGUGUCCCAAAACAAGUGAUCAA